AAAGAGCAAACUUUGCAGGAAAAUUAGAUCUGGACCGUACACCCGAACUCAUCAAACGAUCCAGAUUCGUUCGUUCUCCCCUCCAUCUCUUCCUCACCCACGAGCGCUUAAUUAAACAGAUCCCGCUAAUUGCUCAUCUCCUUCGGUCCUUCCUAUGUCUGGCAGUUUGGUUUUUUGGAUCCCCGCUCUCACAUCUCACGGCUCUCACAUCUUGGCUCCUCCCCUUCGACCUCGCGCCGCUCCAAGCCGAACGCCCUCGCACCCGCCGCUCGCAUUCCCCACAGUCAGCAUGGCUGGGCUUAUGAGUCGCUGCCGCCGGGGGAAAUCGGGCCUGCUACUCCCCAUGGAUUGCUUCCUAAGUUGCCGGGCUACAGGUAUGUCCCUACACCCCAUGGAUUGGAAUCGAUUUCGUUAAUUUUGCAAUUUGGGAUCACGAUUUCAUCAUGCUUUGGUAAGUAAGCCUGGCGGUGGUUUGUGUAUGGCAGUCAAACAGGUUCUACUAAGUACUUUGUUUGUAGAUUAAUUCCCAAGAUCUCUUCACCAGAACACCCAUGCCCAACGUCAAGGCUAAUUUGGCAGCAAUGGUGGUGACUGUAAAAGGAAUUUUAUAUUGAUGAUUUACGGUGUGUUGGAGCGAUGUGGAACAGUCCUAAGUUUGAUUUGGUGCGUGUGUGGUAUACCUCCCUCACAACAAGUGAUUAAUCCUAUUUGAUUUGGUUAUUACGUCUCAUAUCAUAUAGUUGUUUAAGCUUGGUCGUAAGAAGUUGAUUCUAUAUGUAUUGUAUCUCCUCCAUUGCAAUUUGCUUUCUACGUGCUGGUAUUCUCCAACAUUGAGUAUCACAAUGGGGUCGGUCCAGCUCCGAAAAGAAGGCUUAGGUAAAUUAUCUGGCGGUUAAUUAUUUAUACACAGUUGCUCCGAGAGUGAGACUGAUGUAUUUAUCUUUUAGAAUUCUGGUUCCUAAGAUUUCUGAGCGAGAUCCUUCUUUCUGAUUUUCUAGGUUUUCAACAUGUGGAAUAUCAUAUUUAUGGAGUGGAGCUACCAUAAUAUCUAUUAGCAGGAGAGCUUCGUCUGUUCCGGGUGAUGCUGAGGAAGUCAACCUCUGCUGAAACAGUGAUAGUGAUGAGAAAUGGUUUUUUUUUAACAAAGAUGAGAAAUGGUGUAGUUGAGCAUGCCACACACAAGCAUGAUGGUCUCCCCUCGGUUUAUUUUUGUUAAUCCACUUUGAUAACUUCCCGCAAUUGUUGGUUUCAUCAUGUCAAGGGUGUGUAAUAAACUGCCUUUCUUAGCUAGAAAGUUAAAUGUGAUUACUUACAUCAUCAUGGAAUAUCUUUGUGCAUGACUUCCAGUUAUUCUAAGCUUAGAUUUAGCAUUAACCAUAAAAGGAGCAAAUAUCAUACGAGUGUCAACAUAAUUGCCUCUUUGGCUUUCUACGGUUUCAGUUGUUCUUACUUUAUUUCCACCACUCAGGAUCAUAUGGAAGCAACCUUGAAUUGUUUGCAUAUAAACUAAGUUAUUACUUUGCUACGGCUGUUUGCUUUACCACCGCACAUCUCCUCACAUGAUCAGUUAGGCUCUGCCUUGAACCACAUCUGACACCGCCGUCGUUUACUGGAAGGAGCUGCUGGAUACCCUUUUCGCGAGCAGUUAGGGAACACAUUUCCCACCACAUGGUGGUAAUGGCUAUGUACAGUGAUUGUUUCCCGUUGUCGCUGCGCAGAUCAUAUUAGGCACCCGUGACACUUCGCCAUCGAUCAAGGUCGAGUCUGACUGGUGAGUAAUCUCUCUUGCAGUAUCUUGCCUAAAAUCAAUGGUGUUGAUCGGGGUGGCCGUGGUUGCAAGUGCAAACAUGCUGAUCUGGUUGAGGCGUCAUACUCAAUUGAACAGGCCUGACUUUUACAAACAUGAUUCGAGACUUAACUUCUGCAUUCCUACUAUUGAUUGUUUAAAUCAGUUGAUUGAAGACGAUGUUAAUGCAUCCUUAUGUGAGUUGGCAGACUUCUCUAUUUCCACCUUUUGCAGCACCAAGUGGAAGUUUUCAUAAAGAAAUGGUAUCACAUCUGUUACCAUCUCCACGUACAGGUAUUAGUAGAAUUUGUAAUAAAUAAAUAGUUCUUAUCCAUGAGAGAAUAAUUGUGAAACUGGAUACUUGAUUUGAUGAGAGGUUGCCUAACACAAUAUAAACAAUCGAUCUUUUUUUAAUGACCAAACAUGUGUAUGCUUGCAGGAAGUAUUUAUGUGCCUAAAUUUGAAUAAUGGAGCUGCACAACAUGGGCCCUUAUAGUUGAUCGUAAUUUGUAGAUUAGUUUCUUCUAAUGUGUUGAAUGUAAAUUUUAUGACCUCCUGAUUUUUGUUUGACAUUGCAUUGUUUUAAAUUCAACCAAUGUACACCAAACUUCUAACGAAAUUAUACAAGAUGAGGCGUGGUUACCAUUUUCA